GAUGGACGCUGGCGGCGUGCCUAAUACAUGCAAGUCGAGCGAACAGACGAGGAGCUUGCUCCUCUGACGUUAGCGGCGGACGGGUGAGUAACACGUGGAUAACCUACCUAUAAGACUGGGAUAACUUCGGGAAACCGGAGCUAAUACCGGAUAAUAUAUUGAACCGCAUGGUUCAAUAGUGAAAGACGGUUUUGCUGUCACUUAUAGAUGGAUCCGCGCCGCAUUAGCUAGUUGGUAAGGUAACGGCUUACCAAGGCAACGAUGCGUAGCCGACCUGAGAGGGUGAUCAGCCACACUGGAACUGAGACACGGUCCAGACUCCUACGGGAGGCAGCAGUAGGGAAUCUUCCGCAAAGGGCGAAAGCCUGACGGAGCAACGCCGCGUGAGUGAUGAAGGUCUUCGGAUCGUAAAACUCUGUUAGUAGGGAAGAACAAAUGUGUAAGUAACUAUGCACGUCUUGACGGUACCUAAUCAGAAAGCCACGGCUAACUACGUG
rnacentral:rRNA from 1 species